UACGUAGGGUGCGAGCGUUAAUCGGAAUUACUGGGCGUAAAGCGUGCGCAGGCGGUUUUGUAAGUUAGAUGUGAAAUCCCCGGGCUCAACCUGGGAACUGCGUUUGAAACUACAAGGCUAGAGUGUAGCAGAGGGGGGUGGAAUUCCACGUGUAGCAGUGAAAUGCGUAGAGAUGUGGAGGAACACCGAUGGCGAAGGCAGCCCCCUGGGUUAACACUGACGCUCAGGCACGAAAGCGUGGGGAGCAAACAGG
rnacentral:rRNA from 1 species